rnacentral:rRNA from 1 species
GACGAACGCUGGCGGCGUGCUUAACACAUGCAAGUCGAACGGAAAGGCCCUUGCUUGCAGGGGUACUCGAGUGGCGAACGGGUGAGUAACACGUGGGUGAUCUGCCUUGUACUUCGGGAUAAGCCUGGGAAACUGGGUCUAAUACCGGAUAGGACCAUGCUUUAGUGUGUGGUGGAAAGUUUUUUCGGUACAAGAUGAGCCCGCGGCCUAUCAGCUUGUUGGUGGGGUAAUGGCCUACCAAGGCGACGACGGGUAGCCGGCCUGAGAGGGUGUACGGCCACAUUGGGACUGAGACACGGCCCAG